rnacentral:rRNA from 1 species
AUGGGGAACCUCAGUUCACAUUUAAUCACUUUUGCUGCAGGAUACAACAAGUUAAUCGGUGGAAUUCCUACAUCAAUCUCAAACAUAACUAACCUUCAACGGAUAGAUCAUAGUAACAACUUGUUCACCGAGCCAAUCUCGGAAUCCGUCAGUAUGUUGGAGAAUCUGGUAUGGCUGGAUAUCUCUCACAAUGAAAUGUUAGGCCCUAUCCCAACACAAAUGGGUAUGCUUGGGAGCCUACAACGUUUGUUUCUCCGAGGAAACAAACUUUUAGGCUCCAUACCAAACAACUUUGGUAAUGUAAGUUCGUUAGAAUACAUCGACUUGUCCAGUAACCAUUUAAUUUCAAUGAUACCCAUGAGCUUUUUUCGCCUAGCUAAACUUAUCAAACUAGAUCUUUCACAUAAUUCCUCCGUUGGUGCACUACCAGCUAAUUUUUCUACUCUAAGACAAACAAAUUACAUGGACAUUUCUUCCAACUUCUUGAUAGGAAGCAUCCCAAAUUCAUUCAGACAACUUAGUAGCUAA